CAACCUGCCCACCACUUGGGGAUAACCUUGCGAAAGUAAGACUAAUACCCAAUGAUAUCUCUAGAAGACAUCUGAAAGAGAUUAAAGAUUUAUCGGUGAUGGAUGGGGAUGCGUCUGAUUAGCUUGUUGGCGGGGUAACGGCCCACCAAGGCAACGAUCAGUAGGGGUUCUGAGAGGAAGGUCCCCCACAUUGGAACUGAGACACGGUCCAAACUCCUACGGGAGGCAGCAGUGAGGAAUAUUGGUCAAUGGACGAGAGUCCGAACCAGCCAAGUAGCGUGCAGGAUGACGGCCCUAUGGGUUGUAAGCUGCUUUUAUAAGGGAAUAAAGUGAGCCUCGUGAGGCUUUUUGUAUGUACCUUAUGAAUAAGGACCGGCUAAUUCCGUGCCAGCAGCCGCGGUAAUACGGAANGUCCAGGCGUUAUCCGGAUUUAUUGGGUUUAAAGGGAGCGUAGGCCGGAGAUUAAGCGUGUUGUGAAAUGUAGACGCUCAACGUCUGCACUGCAGCGCGAACUGGUUUCCUUGAGUACGCACAAAGUGGGCGGAAUUCGUGGUGUAGCGGUGAAAUGCUUAGAUAUCACGAAGAACUCCGAUUG
rnacentral:rRNA from 1 species